rnacentral:rRNA from 1 species
UAGCGAAGGGGGCUAGCGUUGCUCGGAAUCACUGGGCGUAAAGGGUGCGUAGGCGGGUCUUUAAGUCAGAGGUGAAAUCCUGGAGCUCAACUCCAGAACUGCCUUUGAUACUGAGGAUCUUGAGUACGGGAGAGGUGAGUGGAACUGCGAGUGUAGAGGUGAAAUUCGUAGAUAUUCGCAAGAACACCAGUGGCGAAGGCGGCUCACUGGUCCGGUACUGACGCUGAGGUGCGAAAGCGUGGGGAGCAAACAGG